ACACUCAUUCAGCAACAGCAGCACCACCACCACCACCAGCAGCAGCGGACAGCCCUGAGGAGCAUGGGGCCUGCUGGGACUCGUCUCCUGCUAUGCUUCAGCUCCUGCCCAAUCACUUACCUGUGCCAGGAGAAGCCUCUGGACAUGCCUGGGCAGCCUCUGGACAUGCACUGCUCCCAUUCCUCGCUGAGAGGGCAUCUCCCCGAGUGCCUCUCCAUCCCAGUAGACUCUCCAGAUGUGCCCAGUCCUCAACUGGUGUGGCCUCACCAGAGAGACUCAGACCAAACAGGCCUCCACAGCCUCUCUCUAGACACUUUCUGGGAAACCACAGUGGAAUACAAAAGGUCCUCAUUUGCCCUGAACCCUGGGAAGCCCUGUGGCAUUGGUUCAUGAGUGCUGUGGUUGGUUAUUUGGAACUUAAUUCUCUUGGUAUUUGCCACUUCCCAGUUGUCCCCUUUACUGUUCACAGUCCCCACCUAUAAUCCUCGGCUUCCUGGCACUUCCGGAGCCCAUAUUAACGUACCAAUUUUUUGUACCCCAUUUAGGGCACCAACUGUUCUGAUCUCUUGAAGAGCUCCUCAGGCAACCUUCUGUUUCUAGCAAGAUGAUACACCCAAGCCUUGAUGACAAGGCUUGGCUCUCAACCUCCUUGCUCCCCACCUCCUGUGAAAUACACAAAGAAAUUCAGUGAUCAUCGGGGAUGCUCUGGUCCAAACACUACCUGCCAGCCAGACGCAGGAGAUGGAUGGCUCAGCAGUAAUCGUGCUGCUUGAGCUUGGUGUCUAAUGGGGACAGUAGUGACAGGAAGUUCACAGGGACUGGAAGACAUGAGUUCUCUGAGGGAAAGGAAGGUGAAGCCUGGUGCUUAGGACCCUCAGGAGACCAUAGGAUGUGAGAAGGCUCAAGACACCCAGAGGUGGGGUCAGAAACAGGGCAAAGGAGACCAAGCAUGGGAGAGCUGCAGUGGACGUGUACAGACAGGAGAAGCAGGCCCUAAAGAAUCCCUGAGGCGGCAGAGAGGCUGGGCUGUGGAACUUUUUAAUUACUUUGCAUUAGGGGACUGUAGAGACCCAGAAGCCCACCCUUCCCCUCCCCUCAUCAGCUUAGCCCCAACAUAUGGUGGCUACCAAAGUAGUUAAAUCGGCUCUUGGUAGAAAAGGAAAGAGAUUCCUCCCAGGCUCUUCCCAGGGUCCACGGCCACACUCCAGGAGGGCUCAACUCCAGGGCAAGGCAGCUGGGACAGCAGGCAGCUGAAGGAGGACUAUUACUGCACCUUAGGGAAGAGUGCAGUGGCGAGUGGGGAGGACUCUGCUGGGACCCGGGGGUCAUGUGCAUUCCCAUUUAGUUGAGCUCUGCUUAAUCCGGGCCUAGGCUCACAGUAAUGGGGAACGAGGAGAGGCUCCCAUCAGAGACCAAGAAGAUGACAGACUCUCUGUAAAGGCUGUCAGAGGGGUCUGCAUGACCAACCACACCUGCUCCUGUUCCUUUGGGGCUCUUGUGACCUCCCUGUCUUCUUGUGAGAUCUUAUGUUCCUCCAACCCUGAGAGCUACAAACCAAUCUCCGGAAUAAAAAAAUCUGUCCCUCGUGCUGUCA
rnacentral:lncRNA from 1 species